AGCAGCCGCGGUAAUUCCAGCUCCAAUAGCGUAUAUUAAAGUUGUUGCAGUUAAAAAGCUCGUAGUUGAAUUUCGGGAUCAAAGGAUCGGUCAUGCCUUGGUAUGUACUGGUUUUAUUGGUUCUCACCUUCUAAAGAACCAUAAUGUCAUUCAUUUGAUGUUAUGGGGAAUUAGGACUGUUACCUUGAAAAAAUUUAGAGUGUUUAAAGCAGGCUUACGCUUGAAUACAUUAGCAUGGAAUAAUGAAAUAGGACAUCAGAUUCUAUUUUGUUGGUUUCUAGGAUCGAUGUAAUGAUUAAUAGGGAUAGUUGGGGGCAUUAGUAUUCAAUUGUCAGAGGUGAAAUUCUUGGAUUUAUUGAAGACUACUACUGCGAAAGCAUUUGCCAAGGAUGUUUUCAUUAAUCAAGAACGAAAGUUAGGGGAUCGAAGACGAUCAGAUACCGUCGUAGUCUUAACCAUAAACUAUGCCGACUAGGGAUCGGAUGAUGUUAAUUUUAUAAUGACUCAUUCGGCACCUUAC
rnacentral:misc_RNA from 1 species